GAUGAAGAACGUAGCGAAAUGCGAUAAGUAAUGUGAAUUGCAGAAUUCAGUGAAUCAUCGAAUCUUUGAACGCACCUUGCGCUCCUUGGUAUUCCGAGGAGCAUGCCUGUUUGAGUGUCAUUAAUAUAUCAACCUCUUCAGCUUAUGCUUGUUGAGUGUUGGAUGGUGGGGGUUUGCUGGUGUCUUAUGAAGUCAGCUCCUCUGAAAUGCAUUAGCGGAACAAUUUGUUGACCGUUCAUUGGUGUGAUAAAAAUAUCUACGCUAUUGACGUCAGUCAGUUCAGCUUCUAACAGGCCAUUGACUUGGACAAAUUUUUCAUUAAUGUGACCUCAAAUCAGGUAGGACUACCCGCUGAACUUAAGCAUAUCAAUAAGCGGAGGA
rnacentral:misc_RNA from 1 species